rnacentral:lncRNA from 1 species
ACACCUUUUCAUUUGGAAAAAACUUCACUUUUAGCCUGAACGCCAAAAACCCUUCGCGCGCUGAGUUUUACCUGCGCCACCUCGGUCUUGGUUCUGGACUUCCACAGCAUGCCGGACUGGAGGAUGAGGAGGAGGAGCAGGAGGACGAAGAGGCUGAGCGGAGGUCGCGUCGCGGAGAGGAGACCCGGCGGCCUGCUCACCUAACCCGCUCCGGUUCGGUGACGGCGAAAUUGAGGAGGGUGGAGCACGCCGUCUCCAGGCUGGGAUCUCUGAUGCCCCGCCCCUUCAGGGAUGUCCAGAUCUGUAGAAGGAAAUCAACCAGCAGGCGGUGGGCGUCCAGGCCGAGCAGAACCUUCCUGGGGGCGUCCUCUGCAGACAGGUGGCACAGAGCGGGGAGGAGGUACCUGUGCGGGGGUGUAAAAGGUCAGACGACGCUCGUGUUUCAUUCUCACUGCUUCAACGUCUUCAUCUUCACCUUAAAGGCUCCCCGCCCGUCCACGCCCCUCCCUCCUCGCUGACGGACAACUGAGCCAUCCAGUCCGAAAGGCUCUGCUCGUCAGCGCCGCCCUGCAGGUGGUGCCGCGCGUACCCCACCAAAAACGGCAUCAGAUCCAUCACUUCCUGCUUCAGACAGGAAGUCUCCUCAGCCAGCCAGGAGCAUAGUGAGCGGAAGGAGGCGAAAACAAAGGGAUCGCCAUAGCGACUGGCAUCCACCUGACAAAAACAAUAAAAGGGGAGGAGUCAGAGAGGAGCCAGAGAGGCAGUGAAGCAUUGACAGAGGGAGGGGGGGCUUAGACUUCACCUGCUGCAGGUGGAACACGACAGCAGAGAAAGCCUCCUGGAGGACCUGCAGGACCUGCCGGCUCUGCUGCAGGCUGAGGGCGGGGAGGGAAGGGGCGGGGCUCGGAGCAUCAACGGCGCUGCAGGCCUGCUCCAUGGCCGCCUCCAUGAUUCUGUAGCAGCCUAUGAAAAAAGGGGCAUAGUAAAGGUCAGCAGGUCACGCGGCACUCCUCAUCGCAGACUCUGACGUUCUGAAGAAGACCACAACAAACAUCUGGCGCUGCAG